rnacentral:lncRNA from 1 species
CCAAUAGCUCAUAAUACUUGCUAUUAUUACACUUCUUUGUUGCUAUACCAAACAUCUAUUAUUCUCUUUUUCUCUUCUUCAAAUAUUGAAAACUAUACAAUCAAAACAACAAAAAUCAGAAAGAAAAAAUAAACCAGAUCAUUGUUAAUCAACAGAUCUGAUUACUGGUAAUACAAACUCAAAAUUGUGUAUUUAUGUAGAGAGAAGGAAAAGACUAAAUUACACUUAAUACACAUUUUAAAAUAAUAAUUCAUAAAAUACAUUCCAAUUUUUUUUAUACUAUUAUUACUACAUUUUACAAAGUAAAAAUGAAAAACAAUAAACAACCAUAUAUAAAUUGAUUCUGUUGACAGCUUCUAUUAGUCCACCAAAAAAGUCCCAAAAUUCUAUUCUUUUACCAAAGAAAAACCUCCAAUUCCAAGUAACCAUAUUCCCCCAAAAUCAAAAUCCCCUAAUUCAGAAAAUCACAAAUCCUUAAUGUUCACUUGUAUACAUGCAUCAUUAGUUUAAUCCCAUAGCUAAGGGACUUACUUAUCUGCAGUGUUGUCCUCGAAAAAUUGACCUCCACAUGGUCAACUAUUAUUCCUCACUCAAUUAAAGUCAAAGUCAAGGAAUUAUAUAGUGAAAGUUAAAUCCAAAUAAGGAUUUAAGUUGGAGGAAUGAUUUUCAUGUGGUUUAAUUUGAAAUUGCUAGUACUUAAGAGGGCUUGAAAUGAUAUAAAAAUAAAUCUUGGGAUUUAGCUUCUAAUAUGAUAAAUAAGAUGACUAAAUGUUAAAUUAUAUAAAGGUUGGGGACUUGAAUUGUAAUUAUAUUAUAGUUAUCUAUUGACUUAGAGGAUAAUGACCCAUUUUCAUCCNNN